GAAAGGGGGAGAGGGAUUGGGGGAAGGGGAGCCGGUUCUCUCGAAGCCUUUGGGAUGGGGCUGGUUUGGAAAACGCUCUCUCCUUUACGUUCCUAAGGAGCUUAGGGUUUGCAGCGUUUUCCAAUACCUCCCAUGCCAAAUGUUUCGAGUCAUCCCUCCCUCUCCCUUGCUGCCUUUUUGUGCGUUUGCGAGUUGGAGAUGGCGGAUCUCUCUCGUUUAUUGAGUCGAGGUGGAAGUGGGCGAUGGGAAAGGAAGUUAUGGGUUCCUAAGAGCUGUGGGAAUGGGGGCAUCAGGAAAUCCUUCUCUUCUCUUGCCGCGUACCGCUUGGGAAGAUGAGGUGUUUGGGUAUUUGCCGAUGCCUCCCAUUCCUACUGUUUUUAUGAGCUCCUUCCUCUCCCUUCUCACUGAUUUGAUCUUUUGUGGUUCUUUCUCUAUUUCUCUCCCUUUUUUUUGAUUUGUGCGUUACUUUGGCUAAUUUGUGGGAUUGGACUAUAAACCUGCCAAAUAAGCGUUUGUGUUUGUUUUCAGGGCAUGCAAGAAAACAUCCUUUCAAAAGUUUGAUUCAGUGUUGAAGCAAGCUUUUUUGGUUGCCUUCUAUUAUUUUCGGAUCUGCAUAACGACGGAAAAAAAUUCAUUUUUAGACUGCGUUUGGAAGUUAAUCCAGAUUAACUUUGCGCGAGAAAAUUGUUUAACUCAUCAAUUUAUUCCUUAUUUACCUGAAAUAAACGGAUUAGAAAAUUUGAAGUUUAUUUAUCAAUUUAUUUUUGUCCAUGUUCCGAAAAACAUUGAGUGGACGAAUCAUCGAGAAAAAUUCCUGUCUUAUAUCUUAAGCUCCUUCCUGUACUAUUCAGAAAGAUUAUUUGUAAAAAGGUGGUUAAAAUAGUCGGAUUGGGCCACUGGUGAUAAAAGGUCGGAAUAAGAAAUUUUGGGAGGAAAAAAACCGGAUUUGUACUGAAGGAGAUUCUACUGUCCGCAAGCAACUUAGGUUGUCUUGCCAUGCGAUGCAACAUAAUAAUGAGACCUUGAAGUCCUGGAUCUAAAUGCGGGAGGUUUUUUUUUUGGGUGUUUCGGUACAGUACAUUCUAGGCAGCUAGAAAACGGUCACAAUUCAAGGUUGGUAGAAAACGACCGUAAAAUUGCUUAAUUAUCUGAGACGGGCAUUUCCCCCUUCCCCUAUCAAAAUUUGUGAUUUCCUUUUGGUUUUUAUUUGUUAAAUCACGCUGCACGCCUAGGGUUUGAGCAUGUAUGCGAGGAGAGAAUAAACGGCGCUGAUGAGGAGUGAGUUUAUCUCCAUUUACCAUCAAAACUAACCAGAAUGGAGUGGGUUUAUCAUCAUUACUUUGGAAAAAGAUUACCCCAUUUCGAUCGUGGCGAGAGUGAGAAUUGGGUUAUAGUGAAGGUUCGCUGUUCCCGGUGGUCGGUGCGUCAAGGUUGACCUACGUAUUGCUGGGUAAUUGAUGGUCCAUAAAAAAUCUUUUCUAUAAUUUUUUUAACAUCUUUAAUUUUUCUCAGGAUGGUCAAUCUCAUGUAAUCUUAAGUAAUUUCUCUAACAUCUUUAUUUCUUCUCUGGUUGAAAUGAAUCUCCAGAAAUCUCUUACGGCAGUUGUAAAAUUUUAGUACUUUAGUAUUGGUCGAAGCUUGUGAUUUGAAAGACUUCAAAUUUGUAGUUUAAUGAGAGAUCUGUCGAUAAUUUUAUAGUAUAUAUUCUAAUAAGUUUGAAGUCGUAGAAGCCGUUAAAGUAGGUCGGAGGUAAAACUCCCAUAGAAUCGGGAACUCGCCGCACGCUAUAUAAGGCUGGGGGGUGGAUGGCCGAGGCGAACGUUAGAGCGACGCGCUGGGGGGCACAACCCUAGAUGGCGUCGCCUCCUCCUCCACCGCCAUUGCUGUUGGCGGUUGCGUUCUCCUCUCGACCUCGGCGGAGCCACCUCUAGACGUUGCUUUCUUCUCCGCUUCGCGUCCAGCCUUUCACCUCAUCGCGCAACCCUGCCAAGCAUUAGGACGCCUUCCACAAACACUACCAGAAUAAUCUCUCAACCUUGCCCUCGCCCCCCUCCUUUCUUUCUUCGUGAUUCUUGGGUCUUCGAUUGAUAAGGAUUCUUGGGCACGGUUCCUCAAUGAUCGAGACUACUUGGAUUUUGGGGAAUGAUUGGGGACACCCCUUCUAUGUUACUUUAAUCACCUUGGGGAAUGAUCUGUUCUUGGAAGUUUUAGAUUCUUGGAUACCAAGAUAUCAGGAUUUCUUUCGUUUUACCCAGGUAAUCGGUGAAAAGUAUUUGGAAUUUUAGAUUCUUGGGAGGUUAUGAGCAUCUUGACUUCAUUUCUUGUACUAUUGAUUUUAAUAUGAUAAGCCUUCUUUCUCUCUUUUUGGGUGGUUUUCUUGUUAUAUACUUCGAAUAACAUACUACUACCGAAAGAUGCACCUUUUUAGCCCUUUUUUUUGGCUGUUAAAACUGAGUUGAUGAGGUAGGGAUGAUGUAUCUAGGUAUUUGAUCUGGGCGGCUUAAUACGUUAAUAUAACCUAAUUGCGGUGAUUUUUAAUAAGCUUUGUGCUGUGUUCUGCUGGAUGUUUGGUUGGAGGAUCUGCCUUAUAUUUGAUCAUAUCUUCCAUUGCAGAUGCUUGUCUAAUUAUCAGUUGUUUUCUGCACUGCGUCAUCUUGAUUUGUCUUUCAUAUUGCUUAUUUGCUGUAAGAAGUGAUCUAUUUGCUAGAACUGAAGGUGGAAGCAUGGCUUUAUUUCCUCCGGCAAUUCUCAAUAUUGCAUAAUUGUUUUUCCUCUAAAGCAUGUCGUUAUUGGAACUCCAAAGAUCAUAUAGUUUUUCUUUAGUAAUUUGAUUAUCUGAUUAUUUUCUGUAGUUGUCUUUUUAUAGAAAAAAUAUGUCAAUCGAUGAUAAAUUUGUUCUCUGAUAUUUUUGAUAUGUCAAUUUGGAUGUUCUUUAGAUCAUCUUAAAUGCUAAGUACAACUACUUCACAGUCUCAAUGAACGAAGCCUUUUUAAUGUAGAAAAAGGUUAAAGAUGUUAAAACAAUAAGACAAGCUCAAGUUUAUCCUGAUUACAUCUAAAGAUAGAAAUUGUAUAAUAUUUUUUAAAAUUGUAUCUUUAAGGUUCCUCUCAUCAUAGCUUCUAUGAAGAAAAGUUAGUUUUCUUUUAAGUAGGCAAAGUUCAUUUUGAGAAAGAAAUUCAGGAAGAAGGUUAGCUUUUGUCUAUUGAAAUCAGAUGUCAUUUUGUUAGAUUAAGAAGUAAUAGUUUUAGUGAUGGCUGCGGUCUUAUAAUCUGAUAACAUGCUACUUAGUUCGUGUAAUGCACACAUGUCAGGAGUAAUUUCAUGGGUUGUUGAUCUGUCCGAGUGUACUCUCAUAACUCUAUGUUGUUCGUACUCUGAGGACAUUGCUAAUCACGACCUCAUUUUAUCCAUUUAACCGGCCUUUCACCUAUCACACCUACACCUCCUUGACCAAUUGGAAUCAAGAUCCCUCUCUUUCCUCUCCCGGUCCCUCCAUAAGUGCCAGGUCUUCUAUUUUAUGUUAUGUGGCCACAUAAUUGGUCCGGUCUUGGGUAUUAUGGGUAAUGUGGUGUUUGAGUUAGGGUUUCCAAGGUGUAGUGCGCCCCCUAUUUUCCUAAGCAUUCGUCUAAACUCUUCUAGUUCCACAUCUAAUGAGAAAAUGUCUAUCCUUAUUGUUUUUUUCUACUCUAAACUCCUUGUGGGGAGGGCAAGCUCCAUGUCUGUAAAUGCAUCUUUAAUAAAUAAAGGGAAGAAGAAUGUUAAGUUGAAUAAGACAAAAUAAAGAAUCACUCCAUUUCCAUUUUGACUUACCAAAGUCUAAAAACUAUAAUUUUCUUUUUGCUCCAUUCCCUAUUUCUGUCUAGAACCAUUUGACAAUCUUAGUCUGAAAUUUAUUGCUGGAGUAAUUUCACUUCUUGCUUUUCUUUCACCAAAAUGAUGAAUUUUUAGAAGAAUAGUAGAAGGAUGGGCACAUGCAUCUUUGUUUGGUAUUGGAUUUUUUUUAUUUUUUAAUUUCAUACACUUUCUGUCAUUCUGAGUGCUUUUUAUAUUGUGUAUCUUAUUUUUUCUGUUUAUCCUGUUUUACAUUUUUUUUAAAUUACUAUUUAUUUUUAGUUGUUGCUCUUUUUUGUCUUUAGUUUUGUAAAUUUUUUGUUUUUUUAAUUUGUUUUUGGGUAUUCUAUUUUCAGUUUAGUUUUUUAUUUGUUUGUUUAAUUUUGGGGACUGAAUUAUAUUGAUUUUGGUUUUAUAUACUUAUUUGGAAUUUCGUUUUAUUUUAUUUCUGAAAAAGUAUGGCUGUAUUGGCACCUCUAGUCAUGCAAAAAGUUCCUUAGGCUACAUGAUAGAGGGGAUUGGUCCGGUUUUUGAGGCUUUGGUUAAAUAAAUGGGUGCUACAACUUGUGGCAUAUUGCAUGAGGAACCUUUGGUGUGGCAAUGGUUGUGCAUGAUGUUUUUAAUUAAAAAUUGAGUUUUAAUUUUUUAAUAUUUUCUCAUUUUCUUUUCUUUUCCAUCAUUAUUAUCCGUUUGCAAAUUCAGUUUCUGUUUUUGUUUCAUUUUCUUUUAUUUUCUUAUUUUGGUUUCAUCUUGUUUUUCUUUUGAUUUUUCCUCAGAUUUAUUUUUGUCAUACGUAUAUAUAUUUACUCGUCCAGUUUUUAUCAUUUUUCUUAUUUAUUUGGAAUUACAGUUUUUUUUUAAAAAAAGAAUAAUGGUUCAGGUGCCACUUGCCUAUAUAAAAAGUUUCUCAUGCCACAUGUUAGAGGGCAAUAGAUGCCAUUUAUGAAGGGUUGACCAAUUUAUGUGGGGUUAUUCAAAUAACAAUGUGCGAUCUCAAUGCCAUGUUGGUGUAAAGAAACUAUGUAGUAGACUCGUGUCCAAUGGUAUUUAUCUUUUAAAACUCUCGUUUUAUAUUUCUUUUUUCUGCAUUUUCUGUUGAUUUUCUGCUUUAAUUUAUACUUUAUUUUCUUUUAAAUCUACUUUCUGUUUUGAUUUGUUUAGUUUUCAGUUUAUUUUGUUUUUCUUUUGUAAUUUAGAUCUGUAAUAUGGUUUUAUAUAUUUUUGUCUGGUAUUUCAUUUCAUUUUAUUUUAUGAAAGAGUGAUGGUGCAGGGGGUUUCUCAAUCACGCAAAACUUUCCUCCUGUUGUGUGGUAUAGGGGUUGGUGCAAUUUAGUGCAGGUCAAGGCGAUUUAGGAGUGGGGUUGGCCAAUAGUGACGUUCCAUGCUUGUGCCAUGUAGGCACAGGAAAUCUUAUGUGUUACAUUACCAGUGUCACAUAGCAUUCCAUAAAUUCAGUUUUGUUUUUCCUAUUCUUUAUUUUUUUAUAUAUUUUUUACUAUCAUCUGUUUCCUAUUCACAAAUUUUAGUUUGUUUUUGUUACUUAGUCUUAGGAUCUUCUUUUGUUAUUUAUUUGGAUUUUCUCUUUAAAUUAUGAAAGAUUAGUGCCACGGAUGAAGGCUUUCACAAAAUUCCUUAUCCUAUGCGGUAGAAGGGAUGUGCAAUUCUCGGGGCUGGUGCAACUGAAGAGGGAUUGGACAAAUAAUAAUGUGCCAUGUCGUGCCACAUCAGUUAUAGGAACUUUUCAUGUGAGAGAAUGGCAUCUCAUAGCCUUUCCCUUUGAAACUUCAGUUUCAUAGGUGCCUUGUUGUUCUAUUUGUUUGUAUUUUCUGUUUAUUUUUCCAUUUCAAAUUUUCCACUUUUACAAAUUCUGUUGUGCUUUUUUAUUUGUUUUCAUCUUAUUAUUUUUCUGUUUAUUUUAUUUUGUAUGCGUAACUGUUGUAUGUUUGUUUGAAUUUCAUUUUAUUUUUAUAUUUUUUUGGAAGGAAUAAUGUUGUGGGUGGUAGUUUGAUCACAAAUUGUUCCUUGUGCCACAUGGUAUAGAAGAUUGUUGAUAUUCAGGGGUGCUGGUGCAGUACAUAAGAGAUCGGUCGGAUAAUGAUGGGCCAUGCUAGUGCCCCCCUUGGAAACUUCUUGCAUGCUAGUGAUUCCCUAUAACAAAUUUCAUUUUGCAUUUUAUAUUUUCUUUUUUAUUCAUGUUUAAUGUCUGUUUUCUGUUUAUUUUUCAUCUUUAUUUCACUACGACGUUUGUUUCUAUUAGUUUUUAUUUAUUGAAUUCUUCUUUUAUUUUACUUUGUUUUGUUAUUUAGUUUUUAUAUGUAUUCGAUUUUCUUUGGUUUAUUUUUGUAUCUUUUUUAAUUUAAUUUUGUGAUCUUGUUGGAUUUGUGCUCUAUAGCUGUCCCUUUAUGUGAUGAGAAAAGGCUUUGAUAAUGAUGAUGAUGGUGACAUGAGAUACAAACUACCAUCAUUCUUUUUGUUUAACCGAAGGCAUCUUUUCACUCCCCCACUUCUAAUGCAAUUUUAGCAACAAUUAAUAAUAAGAAAUUACAAUAUUUUAGAACAGACUGAAUGGGUGCAUUCCAUAGAAGUUCUCAGUCCAUUUAUUACUUUUUGACUUGGCCGUGGAAUUGAUGGUGGAGGACUUGUAGCCAUCCUUUAAGUGAUGUAAAUGUUUUUUAAUGCUUUGACAUAUCAAAACUAUCUCAUGAAUCAAUCUCUGUUGUAUGAUGGAUAAGAUUAUUAAGGACAUUGUGGUCCUAUUAAGGAUUCUAUAAUUGAAUUUUUGAAUAAAGUUGCACGACACAGUUCUUAUUACCAUUGUUUUACUCAACUUGCGAAUUACAGAAUGAAUCUGUCGAUUUGGAAUCACAGGACAAUUGAUGUAACAAUUGAUGAAUCAAGAACUUUCAAUUGAACUAAACUAAUCCUGUCAAUUGUUUUUUUCUUACUGUUACUGUUGUAUAUGAGAAAAAGGGGAAAGAAUCACCCUUCCUCUGUUGGAUAUGUAUGUAGUAUGGUUCUGUCUUUCAAAAGGGAUAAUGAUAAUUCAUCAAGGUGGAAUUCUAUUUAUCAGGUUCCUACUCAAAACGGAGUACAACCCUAUUUUUGGUUUAUAACGUUUGAGAUUUUCAAUGCUUUUCUUUGAUGAUACCUUUGCUUCUUAUCUAACAUUGCUUCGUGAAGUUGAUGCUCGCUUCAUCCAGUUGAUGCUCCCUUUAUCCCAGAUUGGUUGUGCUGUCCAUUCCAGCAGCAUUUCCAGAUUUUUCCCCCUCAUGCUUGGGAUAUCUCACCUCUAGCAAGUGCACUGGUUAAGGUGGCUGAUCCAAAACUAUUUUUAGUCGCUCCUGAACAUCAGCAUAUGUGAUGCGCGUGAGACCCCAGGAGGCAUCAACCGAAUAAAAAAGAAACAUAAAAAAAUGAGCAAUUAGAGUUGCAUAUAUAGGGUGGAGAGUUGGGAGAGAGCAGAAAUUUAUCAAGGAGUAGAGGCGUUGUCAUGUCAAAGUAGUAGAAGUAAUAUGAUGGGAAUUCUUGUGGGCUUCACUCAUCUCUAAUUAUUUUUCUACCUCAACUUCAGGAGCACCUUUUGAAUUGGAGCGGAUUGUUUGUGCGCCUAACAAAACACGACUUUGCAUGUUCUCUUAACAAGGAUAAAGAAGUACAAGAGAUUGAAGUGGAAGUGUAUUCGUCAAAUCUAGUCUAACGUAUGCUGAUUGUUUGAAUCACGACCAUCAAUGAAAUCCAUCUUUAGAACAAACUAUAUUGUGCUUAAAGAAACAGAUGAAGGGAAUAUGGUAAAUAGUAAUGAAUUCAGUCUACCCAAAGACUUGCCAUUUGCACUGUCAUGGCUUGUGAAGGGUAAUCCAUUCGCUCCUGCAAAUCGACCAAUAACGUCCUUUACUUUCUGCAUAAUCUACUAUAGGAUCGAUGAAGAAUCGACCUAGCGGAUUUAAGCUCAUAAUAGCAACCACGUGAGCACACAGAAAAACCCUUCUGUAAGCAUGAGUCAAGAGUGAAGGAUAUUUAUUUUGGAGUCUUCCCAAUGACAUAAGACCCCUAGAGACCUUAGAGUUUCUAAGCAAAUGAGAAAAGAUAAUGAAGUUCUAAUUUGGACAAAUUGUCAUCUGUAUGGACAAAAUGAUAAUCCUAAACAAUAUCUCCUUCAAUAAACAAUAUCUCCUUCAUUUCAUUUUCGGUUCAUGGUGGUCAUUGAUAGUAAUUCAAUAAGUUUUAUGAUGGAUUAGGUUGCCCAAUUUCUUUGCAACUGCUAAUCUUAAAUCACUAAUGACUCUUAAGGCUCCUAACCGGGGCUUGACUUUGAACACCCUUUUUUUUCUUCAAACAAAGACUUUGAACACCCUAUUCACAUUUCAAUUUUUUAGUACAGGAAGUCUUGACCUGAACCGGUAGCUAAAGUCAUUAUGGGCUGAACCAGUAAUGGGGCUGAACAUCCAAUGGCAUGAGGCAUGGCAAUCUAGAAAAGGAGGACAUUAUACCCGUCAAAACCUAUAGGCACAUACAACUACAGCUUAGCAAUAGCACUAUAUUAGGAGGUGGGUCUAGGUUCAAACCGUAGGAGGUGUUUGAUCUUGUUUGUUCUCAUAUCGUUUUGUUGAUUAAGCUUUAAAUCGACAAAGAAACCAAUUGCGAUCUAUGUUUACCACACCCAUCUUGUACGUGAAAAAGAAAGUUGUAAAGCUACCUUUGCAUCUUUCAAAUUGGGAAGAAAGCUGGAUGAACUCUUUUUUUUUUUUUGGUGGUAAACCGGCUUCUCACUACAUACGACGAUGAGAGAGCCUAGAACUAUCGCAAAGCAAAAUACGAUGUAAUGCCUGCGGCACAUGAUCGGAGGGAUCCCAAAAUACAAAACCAGAAUGGUGGGCUGCAUAGGAGGCGAUCCAGUCCGCAGCCCUGUUUGCCUUCCGAAACACAUGUAAAAUCCGAAGUAAAUCUAACUCCCCCCAUGCUUCGGAAGUCUCGGAGUAAUGGGUGUAAGUUCGACCUGGCCUGUCGGCAGCGAAUCCAGUUCACCACUGUGGUCGAGUCACCCUUUAAAAGAAUUCGUCUGGCACCCAAUGUACGCGGCAUGGGAGGGUCUUGUAUAUGAUGAACUCUUGACUAAACUAUUUUCCAUGCUAACAAGGAAAGGUGAUGGUGCGGACUGCCAUACGUAGUUGCAAGACUGUAUCAAACAUUGAUGCGAAGAGUAGUUUAGGGCCAUCAAACAAUUUAGUCUUUCUUUAUGUGUUCCUUUUAAUUGUAAAUAUUAAACUAGAGAAAAUGCGGUUUCAACAUGUUUCUGCUGUCUCCAGAUAUCCCAUACUGCAAUUGCAGAAGUUACUUCUCCAUUCUAUGUCGUUAAAGGAAUAGGAAUUUGUGGGUUUCAUUGGUUACUCCUAAUGUUUCAACUGAGGUUCGGAAGGACCUCAAUUUCCCCUUCAGAGAUGGAUCUCAAGUACCUGUGAAUUGGCUGCAGAUUAGAAGUUAAACGACUAACAAAACAGAUAGUUUCCAUAGGGUCUACAUGUUAAAAUAACAGUAAAACAAAGAAUGGGCCCUGAGUUUUCCUUUUAAAAAUUCUGAGUGGUGACAUUCAUUUCAUUAUGUAUUUUAAAGUUGAUGGAAAAAGUAGCAUGCUUCCACCAUUUCUCAAAGUAUAGUGACUUCCCGUUCAAGGGAAAGCUGGAUCCGUGUUCGGCGGUCAAGCAGCAGAAGUCAAAUAUCAAAUAUUUUAUGUAUUUCAGAAGGCUACUUUAUCUAUAAAAGGAUUGUUAAAUCCAGUUUGUUUUGAAGGAAGUGAAACAUAGAUCAAGAUGUCAAGUCCGUCCUUCCUCCGUUCGCUGCUUCUUCUUGUGUUAAUUGCUGCAUUUUAUGCAAUACAAUUUGGAUUGGUGUAUGGUGAGAUUAAGGCGAGGAAGCUGGGAGAUAGAGUUGGUACAGGCCCUGCUGCUCCGAAACCAAAUCAUCCAAUUUCUUGGCAUCCCCCACCUGGAGCUUAGAACCAACUCCAAGUGAUAAUUGUUUUGUUUGAAUAUUCUCAGAAGGGAUGUUAAUUCACUUCUCUAAGUGAUAAUUCACUGUGUGAUUCCCUUUUCCACUAGUGUUUGUUCUCUGUUUGUCCUUCACCGACUUCUCUUCUUCCUUUUUUUUCUCCUUUAUAUAUAUAUAUAUAUAUAUUGUUCAAGAUAAAAAGGGAUGUCAAUGUCUAUCAUGUUGGUUUCUGA